rnacentral:lncRNA from 13 species
AUGUCACUUUGACAUCAUUUUUACCACGUUGUUUUCACUGGGAUGCGUUCAUGUACACAUGCAUAAUUAAAACUUUUUAUUUCUUACACAUGCAUAAUUAAAACUUUUUAUUUCUUACUAUUACAAGCAAUAUAUGUAUUAAAAAACUAAAAAUAAAAUAUUGAUGUAUACAUUUUCAGAACAAGACAAUCAAUCUUCAGGAUUUAAGGAAACUUGGCAAGAUGUACCCGUAAUAAAUUUUGUGUCUCCAUUGCGUGCUCAACAAGCUCUACAGCA